rnacentral:lncRNA from 1 species
GGAGGAGGAGCUGAACUAGGAAGCAAAGUACAAAUGGCAUUUGAGGCAAGCUGCUGUGACAAUCUCAGCAGAAACAGGCAGGUACAUAGGAGGGGACUUGGCAAAAUGUGAGUACUGGGGCUAGGGUUAGGGCUUACAAGGGGCUGGCCUUAGCACUUGGGCUGGGGGUAACCAGGGUCUUUAGCUGAGGCUUUAGGCAGCAUGCACAGCUGAGGCGGGGACUCAUUAUGGGGAGAAAGAAAGACUCCCUCUAUGCAAGUCCUGUCGCCCCCUGGGGACAGAACUAUGAUUUGCUGCUUUUCCUGUGCUUCUUUGGCCGGGUCUCCUGGCCAGGACUCUAGCUUCCGCUCCAGCCUGUGUGCGCACACGGGGCUGUGCUUCUCAAGCUUUAAUGAGGAUUUUGGUUCCUUUGGUCUGGGUGAGGGACUAAGACCCCAGCACCUGCCCCCUGCAUUAGGAUCUGCACUUUAGCAAGAUUCCCUAGGUUACUUUGAGGCGUGUUUUACUUUGGGAAGUGUGGCUCCAGAGUGCCGACGGUUUAGCUUUGGGCACGGAAGGCCUGAGUAGUUGUGCUGGGGAGAGGGAACGCUGUCCUUCCCUGUGUGUGUGCAUAUAGUGAGUCUGAGAAAGAAACCGGCAACAGACCAAUUCACAGGACAAAAGGUGUACAAUUCAUCAUGUGCCUGGGGAACAUCACCAUCAUGGUGAGAGACUUUCUAACCCUUCAUCAUAGGGGAGAGAAGUGGGGGUGGUAAGGCACUUUAGAGGAAGAGUAAAUGCUUUGGUUGGGGAGGGGAGAUGAAGGGCCUGAGGAAAGGGGAACUUCGAGAAGUCACAGCACCUGCUGGUUUCCAAGUGCCUUUAAAAAUAACCGGCAUGCCAAGGAGCUGUAUUGUGGGGUGAUGUCCCUGGCACCCCUUCAGUUGGGAAACAUGUUUCAUUCCAUUUACACUGUUCUGAGGGGCCUCAGAGACAAGGAACUAAACCACAGCACAAUGUUGUCAACCAGGGCUGACACUGGCCCUUGGGGAACCUUUGGAAACACCUGUAGAUAUCAACAGGGAGGGUGCCACUGGCCUCUGGUGGGCACAGGCCAGGGAUAUCGCAAACACCCCACAAUGUCCGCAGCAAAGUGAUCCAGCCGAGAGGUCGCUCGCGUGGGAUUGAGAAACCUGAGGAUUGACCUCAAAGAUGGCUGGCUUGUCCAGAUGCACUCAGUCCCACUCCAACUCUCAAGCUGGCCUGGAUGUCCCAAUUCCAGAAGUCAGGCCAUAGCCAAGUGUUUGACUCCCCCCCAGAAGGAUGGUAGAUUUUACAAGAGAGAAAAAAAUUUUUUAAAUUAUGGGCACUCUUACUAUAAAUAUAGCAUGCCACUAAUCCUCUGUCUCCAGGAUCCAGAUUGCACAGGACAUUUUAAAAGGAGCAAGAAUUAUUUGAGAAGUGUGACUUGGUGCAUUUUUAAUUUUAUUUUUAAGAAUCCGAACAGGAGCAGCAGCAGAAGAAAAACAAAACAAAGGAAGACAGGAAAAGAGAUUUCCUUAGGAUAGUGGUUCUCAAAAUGCAGCCCCUCCCCCAGCAGCUCGGGCAGCCCCUGGGAACCUGGUGGGAACCUGGUAGGAACCCGGAUCCCGGGGCCCCACCCCAGACCUGUUGAAUCAAGUUUGGGCCCUGGAAUUAAUUUUGCUAAGACCCCCAGGUAACACUGAGGCUCACUCAGGCAGGAGGGCAGCUGCUUAGGAGAAAGGUGGAGAUGCCAGGGUCAGACCAGAAACAUGGGACAGCGAGGUCUCAAAGGUCAGGCUUCUAGAAUCUUCUAGCUGAAGCUGAGCCAAGGAGAAAUCGGUGUGUGUGUGUGUGUGUGGGGGGGUGGGAAUAUAAAAUGUGGACCAUGAUCCACUUGGGUUUUAGUUUGCAAGAUGACAGACCCCUAUUUAAUCUAUUUCCAUGCUGGCACUCUCUUUCAGUGGAAGGAAGGUUUUCACAAAACAAGGUCAUGAAUGCUACCUGUCAGACAAUUGUAGGAUGACGUUUGUUUUAAGAUGCAUCCAGAUUGCAGAGAUGCUAAAAUGAGGGGAAAAUAUGCAUUAUAGAAUAAAAGAAUUAGGGUAAUUUUCAGUCUAUACUUUCUUCUUGACAACGUGGAUAAAAGGAGAGGGUUCAUAUUCAAAUGAGGGGCACUUUGUUGUUGGAAUUUGCUAUUUGAGUCUCCUUCUGAUGUCAUUUGGACUCAUUGCAGAAUCAUCAACAGAAUGGACUGGACAAUAAAGAUGAAAUGAUGGGAAAUUGGAAAUAGAACGUGGGAUGAAUUUUCAGUUUAGGGGUUAAAAUGAUGUAUCUGGAUCAUGUUCAGCCAUGACUGUAGAAUCCCCAAAUAAUGGUAACUUAAGAUAGAAGUUAUUUGUCCCUCACCAAAAAGAAGUUUGGAAGUCGACAGUCUUGAAUGUAAAGGUGAGACUACAGUCACCAAGGGCAUAAUGUCCUCUAUCUUGCUGCUCUGCCAUUCCUCCUGUAGGACCUCAUGGAUCAUUAAUGAUUGCUUGAGUGCCAGCCAUGGUGUUCACAUUCCAUUUCAGAAGAUGUUAUGGUUUGGAUGUGAGGUGUCCUCCAAAAGCUCACGUGUGUGACGAUGCAAGAGGGUUCAGAGGAGAAAUGAUUGGGUUGUGAGAGUCUUAAUCCAAUCCAUGAAUUAGUCCUCCUGAUGGGAUUAACUGGGUGGUGACUGAGGUGGUGGGGUGUGGCUGGGGGAGGUGGAAUUGGUGCGCGGCUUGGGAGUAUAUGUUUGUAUCUGGCCAGUGGAGUCUCUCUCCACCUUCUGAUCACCAUGUGAGCUGCUUCCCUCUGCCACACUCUCCCACCAUGAUGUCCUGCCCUACCUUGAGCCCUGUGAAGUGGAGCCGGCCUUCUAUGGACUAAGACCUCUGAAACUGUGAGCCCCUAAAUAAACCUUUCCUCCUUCACAGUUGUCCUGGUCGGAUCUGUUAGGUUGGUGGCAGUGACUUGGUGGCGACUUG